CCGCUCCAUUAACAACUGCAAUGUUCUUGCGGUCUCUGGCAUGUCCACAUCUCCAGAAUCUGCCAUAGAAAUCCUCGACACCUGGCUCAAUACACCUUUCAAAGCCCCUUGUCCUGCUUCUAAUUUCGCUCCGUGGAGCGAAGAAAUAUCUUCUUUCCUGGAAAAUUCCCUUGCUGAAAUGCCAAAAAUUGGACAAGAGGAAAAA
rnacentral:misc_RNA from 1 species